rnacentral:rRNA from 1 species
AAUGAACGCUGGCGGCAGGCCUAACACAUGCAAGUCGAGCGAAGUCUUCGGACUUAGCGGCGGACGGGUGAGUAACGCGUGGGAACAUGCCCUUUGGUGCGGAAUAGCCCCGGGAAACUGGGAGUAAUACCGCAUGUGCCCUUCGGGGGAAAGAUUUAUCGCCAAAGGAUUGGCCCGCGUUGGAUUAGGUAGUUGGUGGGGUAAUGGCCUACCAAGCCGACGAUCCAUAGCUGGUUUGAGAGGAUGAUCAGCCACACUGGGACUGAGACACGGCCCAGACCCCUCCGGAAGGCGGCAGUGGGGAAUCUAAGACAGGGGGCGAAAGCCUGAUCUGGCCAGGCGGGGUGAUCGAUGAGGGCCUUAGGGUGGAAAGGAUCUUUCAGUGGGGAGAAUAUUGACGGUACCACAGAAGAAGCCCCGGCUAACUCCGUG